rnacentral:misc_RNA from 1 species
GAUGAAGAACGCAGCGAAAUGCGAUAAGUAAUGUGAAUUGCAGAAUUCAGUGAAUCAUCGAAUCUUUGAACGCACCUUGCGCUCCUUGGUAUUCCGAGGAGCAUGCCUGUUUGAGUGUCAUGAAAUUCUCAACCUUUUCAGCUUUCUUUGUUGAUCAGGCUUGGAUGUGGGAGUAUGCGGGCUUCUCAGAAGUCGGCUCUCCUGAAAUGCAUUAGCGGGACCUUUGUUGCCUGGCUUUGGUGUGAUAAUUAUCUACGCCAUUGUAGUCAAGGAGCUUAAAAUGAGGUUUCAGCUUCUAACCGUCUCCCCUGAGACAACUUUUUGACAAUUUGACCUCAAAUCAGGUAGGACUACCCGCUGAACUUAAGCAUAUCAAUAAGCGGAGA